GUGCCAGCAGCCGCGGUAAUACGUAGGGCGCGAGCGUUGUCCGGAAUUAUUGGGCGUAAAGAGCUCGUAGGUGGUUUGCUGCGUCUGCUGUGAAAUCCUGGGGCUUAACCCUGGGCUUGCAGUGGAUACGGGCAGACUUGAGGUAGGUAGGGGAGAAUGGAAUUCCCGGUGUAGCGGUGAAAUGCGCAGAUAUCGGGAGGAACACCGGUGGCGAAGGCGGUUCUCUGGGCCUUACCUGACACUGAGGAGCGAAAGCGUGGGGAGCGAACAGGAUUAGAUACCCGAGUAGUCC
rnacentral:rRNA from 1 species